rfam:Trichobilharzia regenti genome assembly, scaffold: TRE_scaffold0007293
GUACUGAUGAAGAGUCCCAAACUAGGACGAAACAGAUGUCCAGUAC